CUGCUAUCGGAUGAUACUAAGCCAUGCGAGUCUUUGUAGUAAUACAAGGCAGACGGCUCAGUAACACGUAGUCAACCUACCCUAUGGACAAGAAUAAUCUCGGGAAACUGGGCAUAAUUCUUGAUAGAUCAUAAUGCCUGGAAUGGUUUAUGGUUAAAAUGAUUCGUCGCCAUAGGAUGGGACUGCGGCCUAUCAGCUUGUUGGUGAGGUAAUGGCCCACCAAGGCGAUUACAGGUACGGGCUCUGAGAGGAGAAGCCCGGAGAUGGGUACUGAGACACGGACCCAGGCCCUAUGGGGCGCAGCAGGCGAGAAAACUUUGCAAUGUGCGAAAGCACGACAAGGUUAAUCCGAGUGAUUUCUGCUAAAGAAAUCUUUUGCCAGUCAUAAAACCACUGGUGAAUAAGGGGUGGGCAAGUUCUGGUGUCAGCCGCCGCGGUAAAACCAGCACCUCAAGUGGUCAGGAUGAUUAUUGGGCCUAAAGCAUCCGUAGCCGGCUUUGUUAGUUUUCGGUUAAAUCCAUGUGCUCAACGCAUGGGCUGCCGAAAAUACUGCAUAGCUAGGGAGUGGGAGAGGUAGACGGUACUCAGUAGGAAGGGGUAAAAUCCUUUGAUCUAUUGAUGACCACCUGUGGCGAAGGCGGUCUACCAGAACACGUUCGACGGUGAGGGAUGAAAGCUGGGGGAGCAAACCGGAUUAGAUACCCGGGUAGUCCCAGCUGUAAACGAUGCAGACUCGAUGAUGCAUUGGCAUAAUAGCCAGUGCAGUGUCGCAGGGAAGCCGUUAAGUCUGCCGCCUGGGAAGUACGUACGCAAGUAUGAAACUUAAAGGAAUUGGCGGGG
rnacentral:rRNA from 1 species